CCCUUAGAUGUUCUGGGCCACACGCGCGCUACACUGAUGCAUUCAACGAGUUUCUUCCUGGUCCGAGAGGAAUGGGUAACCUUUUGAAAGUGCAUCGUGAUAGGGAUAGACUAUUGCAAUUAUUGGUCUUCAACGAGGAAUUCCUAGUAGACGUAGUUCAUCAGACUGCAUCGAUUACGUCCCUGCCCUUUGUACACACCGCCCGUCGCUCCUACCGAUUGAAUGCUCAGGUGAGCCAUUCGGACUUUCAUCAUGCUGGUUUCCAGUUUUGAUGAAGGAAAGUCUUGCGAACCUUAUCAUUUAGAGGAAGGAGAAGUCGUAACA
rnacentral:rRNA from 1 species